UACGUAGGGGGCAAGCGUUGUCCGGAAUUAUUGGGCGUAAAGAGCGUGUAGGCGGCCAGAUAAGUCCGCUGUGAAAUCUCGAGGCUCAACUUCGAGCUGUCGGUGGAAACUAUCUGGCUAGAGUCCGGAAGAGGCGAGUGGAAUUCCUGGUGUAGCGGUGAAAUGCGUAGAGAUCGGGAGGAAUACCAGUGGCGAAGGCGGCCUGCUGGGCCACGACCGACACUGAGGUGCGAAAGCGUGGGGAGCGAACCGG
rnacentral:rRNA from 1 species